rnacentral:tRNA from 2 species
UCUAAUAUGGCAGAAUAGUGCAUUGGAUUUAAACCCCAAUUAUAAAGUUAUACUUUUUUUAGAA